UACGUAGGGCGCGAGCGUUGUCCGGAAUUAUUGGGCGUAAAGAGCUCGUAGGCGGCCUGUUGCGUCCGCUGUGAAAUCCCGAGGCUCAACCUCGGGUCUGCAGUGGGUACGGGCAGACUAGAGUGCGGUAGGGGAGAUUGGAACUCCUGGUGUAGCGGUGGAAUGCGCAGAUAUCAGGAAGAACACCGAUGGCGAAGGCAGAUCUCUGGGCCGUAACUGACGCUGAGGAGCGAAAGCAUGGGGAGCGAACAGG
rnacentral:rRNA from 1 species